GAAACUUAUAGUAUGCAAUUAUUUGAGAUUGCCACCAUUAUAGAUCAAGCAAUAAAAAAUAAAACAUGAAGGAAAAAAAGCCAACUACGCCAAUGAAUAACAACCACAAGUGUAAAAUGAAACAUUAAAAUAAAAACUAAGGAUUUAUUGUCUUGAAGUUCAACUACACGCCUUUUGUUUUCAUAAAAUAAAAUAAAAUAAAAUA
rnacentral:misc_RNA from 1 species